UUAAGCGACUAAGCGUACACGGUGGAUGCCCUGGCAGUCAGAGGCGAUGAAGGACGUGCUAAUCUGCGAUAAGCGUCGGUAAGGUGAUAUGAACCGUUAUAACCGGCGAUUUCCGAAUGGGGAAACCCAGUGUGUUUCGACACACUAUCAUUAACUGAAUCCAUAGGUUAAUGAGGCGAACCGGGGGAACUGAAACAUCUAAGUACCCCGAGGAAAAGAAAUCAACCGAGAUUCCCCCAGUAGCGGCGAGCGAACGGGGAGCAGCCCAGAGCCUGAAUCAGUGUGUGUGUUAGUGGAAGCGUCUGGAAAGGCGCGCGAUACAGGGUGACAGCCCCGUACACAAAAAUGCACAUAUUGUGAGCUCGAUGAGUAGGGCGGGACACGUGGUAUCCUGUCUGAAUAUGGGGGGACCAUCCUCCAAGGCUAAAUACUCCUGACUGACCGAUAGUGAACCAGUACCGUGAGGGAAAGGCGAAAAGAACCCCGGCGAGGGGAGUGAAAAAGAACCUGAAACCGUGUACGUACAAGCAGUGGGAGCACGCUUAGGCGUGUGACUGCGUACCUUUUGUAUAAUGGGUCAGCGACUUAUAUUCUGUAGCAAGGUUAACCGAAUAGGGGAGCCGAAGGGAAACCGAGUCUUAACUGGGCGUUAAGUUGCAGGGUAUAGACCCGAAACCCGGUGAUCUAGCCAUGGGCAGGUUGAAGGUUGGGUAACACUAACUGGAGGACCGAACCGACUAAUGUUGAAAAAUUAGCGGAUGACUUGUGGCUGGGGGUGAAAGGCCAAUCAAACCGGGAGAUAGCUGGUUCUCCCCGAAAGCUAUUUAGGUAGCGCCUCGUGAAUUCAUCUCCGGGGGUAGAGCACUGUUUCGGCAAGGGGGUCAUCCCGACUUACCAACCCGAUGCAAACUGCGAAUACCGGAGAAUGUUAUCACGGGAGACACACGGCGGGUGCUAACGUCCGUCGUGAAGAGGGAAACAACCCAGACCGCCAGCUAAGGUCCCAAAGUCAUGGUUAAGUGGGAAACGAUGUGGGAAGGCCCAGACAGCCAGGAUGUUGGCUUAGAAGCAGCCAUCAUUUAAAGAAAGCGUAAUAGCUCACUGGUCGAGUCGGCCUGCGCGGAAGAUGUAACGGGGCUAAACCAUGCACCGAAGCUGCGGCAGCGACGCUUAUGCGUUGUUGGGUAGGGGAGCGUUCUGUAAGCCUGCGAAGGUGUGCUGUGAGGCAUGCUGGAGGUAUCAGAAGUGCGAAUGCUGACAUAAGUAACGAUAAAGCGGGUGAAAAGCCCGCUCGCCGGAAGACCAAGGGUUCCUGUCCAACGUUAAUCGGGGCAGGGUGAGUCGACCCCUAAGGCGAGGCCGAAAGGCGUAGUCGAUGGGAAACAGGUUAAUAUUCCUGUACUUGGUGUUACUGCGAAGGGGGGACGGAGAAGGCUAUGUUGGCCGGGCGACGGUUGUCCCGGUUUAAGCGUGUAGGCUGGUUUUCCAGGCAAAUCCGGAAAAUCAAGGCUGAGGCGUGAUGACGAGGCACUACGGUGCUGAAGCAACAAAUGCCCUGCUUCCAGGAAAAGCCUCUAAGCAUCAGGUAACAUCAAAUCGUACCCCAAACCGACACAGGUGGUCAGGUAGAGAAUACCAAGGCGCUUGAGAGAACUCGGGUGAAGGAACUAGGCAAAAUGGUGCCGUAACUUCGGGAGAAGGCACGCUGAUAUGUAGGUGAAGUCCCUCGCGGAUGGAGCUGAAAUCAGUCGAAGAUACCAGCUGGCUGCAACUGUUUAUUAAAAACACAGCACUGUGCAAACACGAAAGUGGACGUAUACGGUGUGACGCCUGCCCGGUGCCGGAAGGUUAAUUGAUGGGGUUAGCCGCAAGGCGAAGCUCUUGAUCGAAGCCCCGGUAAACGGCGGCCGUAACUAUAACGGUCCUAAGGUAGCGAAAUUCCUUGUCGGGUAAGUUCCGACCUGCACGAAUGGCGUAAUGAUGGCCAGGCUGUCUCCACCCGAGACUCAGUGAAAUUGAACUCGCUGUGAAGAUGCAGUGUACCCGCGGCAAGACGGAAAGACCCCGUGAACCUUUACUAUAGCUUGACACUGAACAUUGAGCCUUGAUGUGUAGGAUAGGUGGGAGGCUUUGAAGUGUGGACGCCAGUCUGCAUGGAGCCGACCUUGAAAUACCACCCUUUAAUGUUUGAUGUUCUAACGUUGACCCGUGAUCCGGGUUGCGGACAGUGUCUGGUGGGUAGUUUGACUGGGGCGGUCUCCUCCUAAAGAGUAACGGAGGAGCACGAAGGUUGGCUAAUCCUGGUCGGACAUCAGGAGGUUAGUGCAAUGGCAUAAGCCAGCUUGACUGCGAGCGUGACGGCGCGAGCAGGUGCGAAAGCAGGUCAUAGUGAUCCGGUGGUUCUGAAUGGAAGGGCCAUCGCUCAACGGAUAAAAGGUACUCCGGGGAUAACAGGCUGAUACCGCCCAAGAGUUCAUAUCGACGGCGGUGUUUGGCACCUCGAUGUCGGCUCAUCACAUCCUGGGGCUGAAGUAGGUCCCAAGGGUAUGGCUGUUCGCCAUUUAAAGUGGUACGCGAGCUGGGUUUAGAACGUCGUGAGACAGUUCGGUCCCUAUCUGCCGUGGGCGCUGGAGAACUGAGGGGGGCUGCUCCUAGUACGAGAGGACCGGAGUGGACGCAUCACUGGUGUUCGGGUUGUCAUGCCAAUGGCACUGCCCGGUAGCUAAAUGCGGAAGAGAUAAGUGCUGAAAGCAUCUAAGCACGAAACUUGCCCCGAGAUGAGUUCUCCCUGACCCUUUAAGGGUCCUGAAGGAACGUUGAAGACGACGACGUUGAUAGGCCGGGUGUGUAAGCGCAGCGAUGCGUUGAGCUAACCGGUACUAAUGAACCGUGAGGCUUAACCU
rnacentral:rRNA from 1 species